CCACCUUUCCCUCUCCGCCCGUUCCCCCACGACCUCCACCUUCCACACCAUCCCCAACACCUCCUUCCUCCACCACGGGGCACCACACGACUGCCCACCACGCCCACCUCCCUCCACCAGCCACCACGCUGCCGCCCGCCCGCGCCAUCUCCUUCCAUGCGCCGCAACGCCACCCCCCGCCUCCUACUUCGGCGACCGCUGUUUCCUGGAGCCUCGAUGAGCCUCCACCACCGGAUCCAACCAUCAUAGCCAUGGCAAGGCCUCCACCGCCGGAUCCGGCCGUCACGUUCACCGGUGCAGGCACAAGCCAGCGGAUCCGGCCGCCACAACCACGGGUGCAGGCACAAUUGUGAACCAUGGGAUUAAGGGCCCGGGGGUCUGCACCAGCACCCGAGAUGCCCCCUUCUCCUCCGACGCUUCUCCACAAAAGCAGAAGCAUAACGCGUUGUGCCGACCCUUUUCUACCCUCACUCCAAUUUCGUUACGAUUUGUUUGGUCUAUCUGCUCGGGGGACUGAGCAUAUGCUUUUGUUUGGCUAAACAGGAGGAAGCAGCUGAUUUGUCAGUAGAGGAAGUCGCGUCCCAUUGCGUUAGUGGACAAAAGGCUUUUCGAUGAGGUGGGGAAGAAUGACACGCUGAUCGUUGUUGGCGAGACUGGUAGCGGCAAAACGACUCCAGAUCCGGCUGCCACGACCUCGGCUCCCUACUCCCCAUCUCAAAUAUCAACCUCCUCUCCUCUUGGCCUCUUCUCCAACGAGAGAACGCACACCACUAAGCAGUUUGGAUAAGUGGGGAGGUGGUCUCAUCCACGCACAUUCAAAUGGCGGUGAUGACAAAUUGAUUGAACAGCAGUAGCGAGCGUACAAUCCACUUGGUUCUUCUUUUGUGAUUUUUGUCUUCAAAUUUUGGUUGUGUGCGAUCCGCAUGUUUUUUCACGAACACUAAUGCGCAUUUUUUUUUGGUAUAUGACAGAUUUCAUCCAGAAUGUAUACCUCUUAUUUGUUUGAAUGAGAUGGGGGAGAGAUAGUUUGGAGAGAUUCAGGGGUUCUGUGUAACCACGGAGCAAAGUGCCAGGGUUUUUCUUGUAUAAAUACCACAAUUUACCAUUGAUAGUUCAUGUAUUUGAUAUUUUUUUAAAGUUUGUGUCAUUGUUACAAGGUGGUUUACUUGUUCUGUCGACGACAUUAAUAGUUCAUGUAUUUGAAUUUUUUUUUAAGUUUGUGUCAUUGUUACAAGGUGGUUUACUUGUUCUGUCGACGACAUUACGUUAUGGUAGAUAGGGGGGUGCCUGAGGGUAUGCAGUUCUAUGUGUGUUUGUUUUUUCAUAUUUUUUUGGCCGUGUGGAUGAAUUCUUGCAUGUAAUGCAUAU